GUAAUGCUUAGGAAUCUGCCUAUUAGUGGGGGACAACAUCUCGAAAGGGAUGCUAAUACCGCAUACGUCCUACGGGAGAAAGCAGGGGACCUUCGGGCCUUGCGCUAAUAGAUGAGCCUAAGUCGGAUUAGCUAGUUGGUGGGGUAAAGGCCUACCAAGGCGACGAUCUGUAGCGGGUCUGAGAGGAUGAUCCGCCACACUGGGACUGAGACACGGCCCAGACUCCUACGGGAGGCAGCAGUGGGGAAUAUUGGACAAUGGGGGGAACCCUGAUCCAGCCAUGCCGCGUGUGUGAAGAAGGCCUUUUGGUUGUAAAGCACUUUAAGCGAGGAGGAGGCUACCGAGAUUAAUACUUUUGGAUAGUGGACGUUACUCGCAGAAUAAGCACCGGCUAACUCUGUGCCAGCAGCCGCGGUAAUACAGAGGGUGCAAGCGUUAAUCGGAUUUACUGGGCGUAAAGCGCGCGUAGGUGGCCAAUUAAGUCAAAUGUGAAAUCCCCGAGCUUAACUUGGGAAUUGCAUUCGAUACUGGUUGGCUAGAGUAUGGGAGAGGAUGGUAGAAUUCCAGGUGUAGCGGUGAAAUGCGUAGAGAUCUGGAGGAAUACCGAUGGCGAAGGCAGCCAUCUGGCCUAAUACUGACACUGAGGUG
rnacentral:rRNA from 1 species